GCAAACUUGGUCAUUUAGAGGAAGUAAAAGUCGUAACAAGGUUUCCGUAGGUGAACCUGCGGAAGGAUCAUUAUUGAAUACAACAGAUUGAAUUGUUGCUGGCUUUUAGGAGCAUGUGCACAUUCAAUCUACUGUUAACCACCUGUGCACUUUGUGUAGAUUUGAACAAUAUUCAAGGCUAAAUAAAAGUACUUGGUUGAAGAAUUGCUGUGCUUAGCUCUAGCUUUUCUUGAGUUCAAAUCUAUGUUUUUAUUAUUUAAAUCCUGUAUCAGAAUGUAAUUCAUGGGCUAUUGUGCCUUCAAUCAUAAUACAACUUUCAACAACGGAUCUCUUGGCUCUCGCAUCGAUGAAGAACGCAGC
rnacentral:misc_RNA from 1 species